AGCGAACGCUGGCGGCAGGCUUAACACAUGCAAGUCGAGCGGGCCCUUCGGGGUCAGCGGCAGACGGGUGAGUAACGCGUGGGAACGUGCCCUUCGGUUCGGAAUAACUCAGGGAAACUUGAGCUAAUACCGGAUACGUGCGAGAGCAGAAAGGUUUAUCUGCCGAAGGAUCGGCCCGCGUCUGAUUAGCUAGUUGGUGAGGUUAUGGCUCACCAAGGCGACGAUCAGUAGCUGGUCUGAGAGGAUGAUCAGCCACACUGGGACUGAGACACGGCCCAGACUCCUACGGGAGGCAGCAGUGGGGAAUAUUGGACAAUGGGGGCAACCCUGAUCCAGCCAUGCCGCGUGAGUGAUGACGGCCUUAGGGUUGUAAAGCUCUUUUCUCCGGGACGAUAAUGACGGUACCGGAGGAAUAAGCCCCGGCUAACUUCGUGCCAGCAGCCGCCGUAAAAC
rnacentral:rRNA from 1 species